CCUAUGGCAUCUAAUUGUCUUCCUGGGUUAAGCAUGUCAGCUCAGAGAAGACCAACAGGGAACUGUUGAACAAAAUAGAAAAUGUGGAAUGACAGACAGCGGGGAAGAGAAGACAGGACAAAUUGCUUGCAAGAGAGAAUUAGACCACCAGCCUCUCAAACUGCCAAUCCAUCUAUGAGAGGUGAUUGGAACUGGAAAUACAAGGCUCCGAGCCAAAAUAAAUUACGAACCACAAGCAAGGAUAAUAAGCCAAGAAGAAGCCAUGACUUGUGAAACAGCCAUCAAGCUGGAAUGCUUGGUUCAGAAGUUAUGCUGCAGAAAUGGUUCUUUGUUGGUCUUUUAGGAGAAAGCCAUCAGAUGAUUUGAAUUAUAAUUUUCAUAAUACCUGACCCUUGGGGCAGAUGGAAAUUAUAGUCCAAAAUGCCAGAGAUUGCCUUCCCUAUUCUAGGAGGAAGAACAACAAAAAAGAGGACAAUACACAGGCCAUUUGUAACAAGAAGUGUGUUAUAUUAUUCUGUACAAACACUUACUUUGUAUGUUUAUCCACCAAAUCCACCAAAUGUGAAGAUAGUCAUUUCAACUAAAGCUUGACAAGGCUAAGUUAGAAAAUAUAUUUUGGAUAAAAAUGUCACCAUAACAUAACAUAUACAUUUUUCAUUCCCAUUUUCCAAGAUCUUUGAUAGCUGUGGUUUUGUUCCAUUAAUAUCACAUCUACUGGUAUCACAGAUUCUUUGUUACAAAUACAUAUUCUCCUUUCCAACUUGAGUGGAUGAAUUCCAACUUUUCCUUAAUGGAAAAGCCCUCUAAUCUGGUGUCAUCCAUACAGAUAUCCCCUCUGAUCUUUUACUGUUACAAGCAUGCUUUAUGUCUCUUAAAUUUCAAAUAUCAUUAAUCUGGAUGAACUGCUUUUGCAA